rnacentral:rRNA from 1 species
UACAGAGGGUGCAAGCGUUACUCGGAAUUACUGGGCGUAAAGCGUGCGUAGUCGGUUAUCUAAGUCGGGUGUGAAAUCCCCGGGCUCAACCUGGGAAUUGCAUUCGAUACUGGAUAGCUAGAGUUCGGCAGAGGGAAGCGGAAUUUCUGGUGUAGCGGUGAAAUGCGUAGAUAUCAGAAGGAACAUCAGUGGCGAAAGCGGCUUCCUGGACCAGAACUGACGAUCAGGCACGAAAGCGUGGGGAGCAAACAGG